UUUCAUUGUCUUUUUUUAUAUUCAGAUGAUAAUUGCAGGCAGGCUUGAAAAAAACUUGCAUUUGUCCAUCCUGAUCUAUGGAAGUAGAGCUACAUGUACACUAACUAAACCUGUAACAAGAACACCAACAGUGAAAGUUCUUGUGAGGCACAUCAUAUACAAACUUUUAUAAAUACUUUAAAUGAAAUUAACAAUGGUCAUUGAACUGCAAAGUGGCAAGAAGAUAGAGAACACAAAUAGUGUAGUUUGUUGAAGGGGUAAUCCACAAACGCAAUCCUAAUAGCAGACAAAGGUCAAAUAUGCAAACCAAAAACAAUUACAGAAUAAGGGGCUGGAGCAAACGUAGUCAUCCAGAAAACAGUUAACACAACAAGACCAGGAACCAAGACACACGAGAACAAGGCACAGAAUUGCAGAUACACAUACAUAGCAAGGUCUGCAAGUGAGAACCAGGCUUAUAUAGGCGGAGCUAACCAUACUAAUGAGACACAGGUGUAACCAAUGAUUGCUGAUGAGACCAUCAGAGGAUUGUAGAGAACAAAGUCCUGGAUAAAGUGGCAGAAGGCUGGGAUGGAGUGCCCUCUAGUGGACAACCAGGGGACCCAGCAGGUGAUCAGAACAACAAGGCAAUCAAAGGCUAGACUUACACGAGAAAGCCGUACAUGUUUGGAACAUCAUGAGGGCUACCCACACACAUCUUGAUAAACCUUCUUCAUCGUUUAUGAUCCAUUGGUUGUUAACUAAAUAUUAAACUAUUCAGUGCACUUUUG